rnacentral:rRNA from 1 species
UACAGAGGGGGCAAGCGUUAUUCGGAAUUAUUGGGCGUAAAGGGCGCGUAGGCGGCUUGGCAAGUGGAAGGUGAAAUCCCUCGGCUUAACCGAGGAACUGCCCUCCAAACUGCUUCGCUUGAGACCGGGAGAGGUGAGUGGAAUUCCCAGUGUAGCGGUGAAAUGCGUAGAUAUUGCGAGGAACACCAGUGGCGAAGGCGGCUCACUGGACCGGUACUGACGCUGAUGCGCGAAAGCGUGGGGAGCAAACGGG